AAUUCAAGGGUGUGAGGCCAGUCACUUCGGUGACGAAGCAAUCGGAAGUGGUUCCAGGAAAAGCCUCUAAGCUUCAGUUCAACAAGACCGUACCGCAAACCGACACAGGUGGGCGAGAUGAGUAUUCUAAGGCGCUUGAGAGAACUCGGGAGAAGGAACUCGGCAAAUUGGUACCGUAACUUCGGGAUAAGGUACGCCCCUGUAGCUUGACUCGCCUGCGCGAGAAGGGUGAAGGGGUUGCAAUAAACUGGUGGCUGCGACUGUUUAAUAAAAACACAGCACUCUGCAAACACGAAAGUGGACGUAUAGGGUGUGACGCCUGCCCGGUGCCGGAAGAUUAAAUGAUGGGGUGCAAGCUCCUGAUUGAAGUCCCGGUAAACGGCGGCCGUAACUAUAACGGUCCUAAGGUAGCGAAAUUCCUUGUCGGGUAAGUUCCGACCUGCACGAAUGGCGUAACGAUGGCCACACUGUCUCCUCCCGAGACUCAGCGAAGUUGAAGUGUUUGUGAUGAUGCAAUCUCCCCGCGGCUAGACGGAAAGACCCCAUGAACCUUUACUGUAGCUUUGCAUUGGACUUUGAACCGGUCUGUGUAGGAUAGGUGGGAGGCUGUGAAGCGUGGACGCCAGUCUGCGUGGAGCCAUCCUUGAAAUACCACCCUGAUCUGUUUGAGGUUCUAACCUUGGUCCGUAAUCCGGAUCGGGGACAGUGCAUGGUAGGCAGUUUGACUGGGGCGGUCUCCUCCCAAAGUGUAACGGAGGAGUACGAAGGUACGCUAGGUACGGUCGGAAAUCGUGCUGAUAGUGCAAUGGCAUAAGCGUGCUUAACUGCGAGACCGACAAGUCGAGCAGGUGCGAAAGCAGGUCAUAGUGAUCCGGUGGUUCUGUAUGGAAGGGCCAUCGCUCAACGGAUAAAAGGUACUCUGGGGAUAACAGGCUGAUACCGCCCAAGAGUUCAUAUCGACGGCGGUGUUUGGCACCUCGAUGUCGGCUCAUCUCAUCCUGGGGCUGUAGCCGGUCCCAAGGGUAUGGCUGUUCGCCAUUUAAAGAGGUACGUGAGCUGGGUUUAAAACGUCGUGAGACAGUUUGGUCCCUAUCUGCCGUGGGCGCUGGAUAUUUGAAGGGGGCUGCUCCUAGUACGAGAGGACCGGAGUGGACGAACCUCUGGUGUACCGGUUGUCACGCCAGUGGCAUCGCCGGGUAGCUAUGUUCGGAAGAGAUAACCGCUGAAAGCAUCUAAGCGGGAAACUCGCCUUAAGAUGAGAUAUCCCCGGGGCUUCGAGCCCCUUGAAGGGUCGUUCAAGACCAGGACGUUGAUAGGUCAGGUGUGUAAGCGCAGUAAUGUGCUCAGCUAACUGAUACUAAUUGCCCGUAAGGCUUGAUCCU
rnacentral:rRNA from 1 species